rnacentral:rRNA from 1 species
CGAAAGCCUGACGGAGCAACGCCGCGUGAGGGAUGAAGGCCUCUGGGCUGUAAACCUCUUUUCUCAAGGAAGAAGAUCUGACGGUACUUGAGGAAUAAGCCACGGCUAAUUCCGUGCCAGCAGCCGCGGUAAUACGGGAGUGGCAAGCGUUAUCCGGAAUCAUUGGGCGUAAAGCGUCCGCAGGCGGCCUUGAAAGUCUGUCGUUAAAGCGUGGAGCUUAACUCCAUUUCAGCGAUGGAAACUACAAGGCUUGAGUGUGGUAGGGGCAGAGGGAAUUCCCGGUGUAGCGGUGAAAUGCGUAGAUAUCGGGAAGAACACCAGUGGCGAAAGCGCUCUGCUGGGCCAUAACUGACGCUCAUGGACGAAAGCCAGGGGAGCG